UAAUACGAAGGGAGCGAGCGUUAUUCGGAAUUACUGGGCGUAAAGGGUGCGUAGGCGGCUUAGUAAGUCACGUGUUAAAGACCGGUUCAUAACGCCGGAAAGGCACGUGAAACUGCUGAGCUAGAGUACAGGAGAGAGAAGUGGAAUUCUCGGAGUAGCGGUAGAAUGCGUAGAUCUCGAGAGGAACACCGAUGGCGAAGGCAGCUUCUUGGCCUGGUACUGACGCUGAGGCACGAAAGCGUGGGGAGCAAACAGG
rnacentral:rRNA from 1 species